CUCAUAAUAUGACUUUUAAUGUUUAAUGAUUUUAAAAAAUUUUUUGAUAGUCAUUAUAAAAUUUUACACAAUUUCCUAAUAAUGAAUUACCAAUAUUUUUCGAUCAUUAUAAUAAUUUUAUACAUACUGUCACACCAUAGCCAUCGUUCUCAACUAUUAGAUGAUGGAAUGUAUUAGAUUUAGGAAUGUAUUAGAGCAUCUAUUUAGGAGUGUAUAUAAAUAUGUGGCCUAUUCUAUUUCGGUCUCGACAUAUCAUCAGACUGUAGAAGAGGUUCAAGUUUCUCGGAUAUGUCAACUGUCCAUCAGAUGGGCCAUCAGCUUGUUUGCCAUCGUACUCUCAGAGGGAAGUCAAAAGUCCUUAGAACUAGUCUGCAAGCAUUCGAUAAUUUGGAGAUGUAGACGAAUUAUGACUUAUAGGUAUUAUUAUAGUAUUUAUGUUUGUACUUUAAAGGAUUUGGGUUCUAGAUACGUUUUUAUUAAUACAAUUGGUUUUUCUAGUUAUCAAUUUAAUGAGUGUAUUUAUUGACAUAAGAUAUAAUAUUAACAUUAGGCGAAAUCCUAUAUAUACGAGUACCAUAUAGUUCUGUUAAAGUUUUCUUUUGUUUUGUUUUAUUUUUAACAUUUGUUGUAAUAUCUUAUACUUGUAAAUCAUUUAGGAUUUAUAAUUUAAAGGAAAUUAGGAGAUUACAAUAAAAUACAUAUUAAGUA